GAGCCCCAUCUCGUCCUCACUCCAUGUUGGAAACGGACCGAGGAAGAGGAGGAGGACGAGGAGGACGAGAAGGAACGGUGACGUCAGACCCGAAGGACUGCAGAGUCACGUGCUUUUACCAAAUUAUAAUAAAGAUAAUUGAACAUUUUGUAAUUUGCAAAAAAAAUAGCUAUUAAAAAUACACCUUUUAAAGCUAUUUUAAUUCUAAAAUACGUGCUAUCAUUAAAUAUGUCGUUUUUAAAUGAUAGUAUGUAUAAUAUCAGUUGCAAUUAGAAGUAUUAUACAUGAGCAAUUGAAAACUGGAACAGGUACAAUGAGAGCAGCAUAGUGUUAAGUAUCCCUGUACCAGUAGUACCACUACUGAGUAAUGUAUUGUGUAUGUGAGUUUUCAAUAGCGGUAGUAAUAGAGGAAGGACUGUAGUAGUAUUAGGAGUAGUGGGCGUAGUAUCAGUACUGUAACAAAGUGCACAUGAUAGCAUCCUUCUUAAAUAUCACACAAACACUGUUAACAUGUGUUUUCAUUUGUAUAAUUUCCUGUGAGCAAAGAAGACCGCAACGUGAUUUUCAGUGACACCUGGCGGCAGGGUCGUGCUACAGCAGCUUCACUCCACAUCUGCUCCACAGCUGGUCUCUACAACAAUCUUCAGUGUUUGAUGUUUAUUUGGUGAAGAAAUAGUAGAAGUGACCCUCUGCAUGUGUUUUAUUUAAUCACAGUUUGGUGUAGAUGCUCAGCUUCCUGUCCAGUGUUUUAGAGUUUGAUUAAUAAAAUCUUCUGACCUUUGUAUGAUGUCCAGUCCAGGCAAAGCUACGUGUCAGAGUUGGACACAUGAGGUCCUCCGCUGUUCAGAACUCCCGCCGAUGGCUAAGUUCAUGUUCAUUUUAAAGUUUUUAGGGCAAUUUUCUGUCUCGUCGCUGACUCAAGAACAGAAUGAAGCCUUUUUGUUGUCCUGCCGCACCCAGGUGGUUAACUGGAGUUUCUUUAUGUGUAUUCUUGCAAUAAAGUAUCAAAAUGACUGCAAAGAAGUACAAUCAUACGUUAUAUAAUGACAUAUUAAAAUGGACUGUUUGUCUUGUUUUUUUUCUAUAUUCAUUUUUAAAAAGUGAUUGCACCUUA